UACGAAGGGGGCUAGCGUUGCUCGGAAUUACUGGGCGUAAAGGGCGCGUAGGCGGAUAUCUAAGUUGGGGGUGAAAUCCCGGGGCUCAACCUCGGAAUUGCCUUCAAAACUGGGUAUCUUGAGUUCGGGAGAGGUGAGUGGAACUCCGAGUGUAGAGGUGAAAUUCGUAGAUAUUCGGAAGAACACCAGUGGCGAAGGCGACUCACUGGCCCGAUACUGACGCUGAGGCGCGAAAGCGUGGGGAGCAAACAGG
rnacentral:rRNA from 2 species